rnacentral:rRNA from 1 species
GCUUGUCUCAAAGAUUAAGCCAUGCAUGUCUAAGUAUAGUACCUUAUACUGCGAAACUGCGAAUGGCUCAUUAAAUCAGUUAUAAUUCAUUUGAUGGUACUUACUACUCGGAUAACCGUAGUAAUUCUAGAGCUAAUACAUGCGUCAAAACCCGACUCCUGGGAGGGUUGUAUUUAUUAGAUGGAAACCAAUGCGGGGCAACCCGGUAUAUGGUGAUUCAUAAUAACUUUCGGAUCGAUCUUCGGAUCGAUGCAUCAUUCAAGUUUCUGCCCUAUCAGCUUUGGAUGGUAGGGUAUUGGCCUACCAUGGCUUUAACG